rnacentral:rRNA from 1 species
GAGUUUGAUCAUGGCUCAUGACGAACGCUGGCGGCAGGCUUAACACAUGCAAGUCGAACGAACUCUUCGGAGUGAGUGGCAGACGGGUGCGUAACACGUGGGAACCUACCCUAAGGUACGGAAUAACAUCGAGAAAUCGUUGCUAAUACCGUAUGUGCCCUUCGGGGGAAAGAUUUAUCGCCUUAGGAUGGGCCCGCGGCAGAUUAGGUAGUUGGUAAGGUAACGGCUCACCAAGCCGACGAUCUGUAGCUGGUCUGAGAGGAUGAUCAGCCACACUGGAACUGAGACACGGUCCAGACUCCUACGGGAGGCAGCAGUGGGGAAUAUUGGGCAAUGGGCGAAAGCCUGACCCAGCCAUGCCGCGUGAGUGAUGAAGGCCUUAGGGUUGUAAAACUCUUUCGCCGGUGAAGAUAAUGACGGUAACCGGUAAAGAAGCCCCGGCUAAUUUCGUGCCAGCAGCCGCGGUAAUACGAAAGGGGCUAGCGUUGUUCGGAAUUACUGGGCGUAAAG